GCCUUGGGCCCAAGCCAUGGGACCCCUCCCAAAGCCACCUCUGGAUUUAGGACUGUGGGUGCUUCGGAGACCCUGUUGAGCUGUGUUCAGUGGCACAUGGUGGGGCCAGAGUGAGGUGGGCUGAGCAGAUACGGAGACCCGGGAGCCAGUGCCUCCAAAACAAACUAGGGCAAACUCGAUGGCUUGAAACAGCAUAGACUUAUUGUCCUACAGUUCUGAGGAAAGAGGUAGAAAUAUCCCGAGCACCCCUCUGACAGAGGUCUGACCAGGUGGUUACUUCUGGGCCGAAAAGCAUCUUCUCACCAUGAACCAAAGCUGCCUAUCGCCUCUAGAGCCGUGUGGCUGCGGAGUCGGCCCCUCUUGGUGGGGGCCUGGCAGGGCUCUGGGUCUGGAAGUCCCAUAAGGGCCUAUCUCUGCUUGGCUUCCUGGUCCCUAGGCAGUGCCCCCCAAUGUGGAGCCACGUGCCCUGCCGAUGGCGGCUCUCCUGUACUGAUCCUGUGGCUUCCCUCCCUCCCAUGUUCUCUUCCCUGGGGAACUCAAGUUCAUGGGAUGCUGGGUUCCAAGGCCGAGCAUCCCAUUUCCUUAGCUUUCCUCUUAUUUCUACCUCUUGGUCCUGCAGUCCUAUAGGGGAGCUUCUGAACGGUAUCUUUCAAUCCACCUGUUCUUUCUCAAAUUUCUACCAUCGUGUUCCUGCCUUGCCCUGUCCUGCUCUCUCCCAGCCUGUGUCCCUGUGUCCUGGACACCGCGUCUCAAUCCCUGGAGGGCGUUACAGUUGGGUUCCUGGUCCGGGCUCUCUGUCUGUGUUCCCUUUAAUCCAGGGGUCGAGGAUGGCCAGUCCGGGGGCUGGGCUGUCUGCACAAGUUGUCUGCACUGCUAACUAUCAGUGCCUUCGGGAGGACCCCAGGGCUCAGACUGGGGGUCUUCUCAGCAGGCCUGCGGCUGUCUCCAGAGAGGAACCAUCAGGCCCCUGGCCUGAGCCGCUGAGACACGGUGUCCACCAGCCUGCCUGCUGCACUCUGAGUUCCGGUUCUGCCGAGAAGCCCAGACCGCAGAGGGCCUGUUCUGGGGCCUCCGUCCUUGCUGAUUCCUGGGCCGGAACCACCUGCUUCAUUGCUGUAGUUUCAGGCACAUCUUUGUAUCUGGUUGUACAAGUCCACCCCUUUUCUUUUUUCUUUUUUUUUCAAAACUAACUUAACCUUGACCUUUACUUGUCCUUACAAAUGUUAGAGCAAGCCUCAACUGGAGUUGGAGUGGCACUGGGUCUCCAGAGUGCCUGGGACACACAGUGUCUCCAGGCUGCCCAGGAGCCCAGACAGAACGAAUCCCACGAAGUCUGCCUGUGCUUUUUCCGGCUCACGAGCCAUGUGCCUCCUUUGCAGGCUCAGGCCCGGGUCCUGCGCUGGCUCAUCACUGCUGUGGUGCCACCCACUUUCCAUCAGAAUUCUGCUGAGUUUUCAGGGUUAAAGAGCACCACUAAUUUUCAAACAGACAAAUGUGAAAUGUGUCACACAUGCAGAAGAGGACAGCUCAGCAGAAGGCCCUCCAAGAAGAGAAGUGAGCAGGGCCCUGGGGUGCGGGUCUGGCCUCAGCCUCUCUGAGAAUUUCUAGGAGCCGUUCUGGAGCCAUCAGUGAGCAGAGACACAAAUGAUCUGGGGACACCCGGGCCCCCCCCCCAGUCGGGGCAUCUGGCAAGGCUCAGAGUGCUCUUUGAGCUUCUGUACCCACCUGGACCAUCUUCCAGUCCUUGAGCACAGUGGUUAAAAUGGCCCAUUUAGAGAUCACGUGCCUCCUGACAGAAGAACACCACACAUGAGAAUCACCCACACACAACUCCUGGUCUACAGCAGAUAUAUGGCUCAGGGCAAAAUGUGAGACAACUAGGCUGCUUCAAACAGGAGACGCAACCUGAGGAUAAAGAGAUUCAGGAGGCACAUCAACCAGUUAGGACACGUGGACCUAAAACAUUUUCCUAGACCAUCCAGGGAAUGAGAACCCUGACUGGGUACUAGGAUGCCGAUGGCCUCCUUGUUACAUUCUAGGAAACCAUCUCCUAGAAAUACAAACUGAAAUAUGAGGUGAUACCUAGGCUUCACUCAGAAUGAACAACCAGGUUGGAGGAGGUGCAGGAGGGUGAGGCGGAAGGGUGGGGCCAGAGGCGAGGACGAAGGGGUGGGGGUCCCUGUGACCCCAGAGCAGCCUGGGGAAGGGGAGACAAGGGUGCGCGUGAGUGACCCACAGGAGCACUGUCCCCGUCCGCUGUCCCCUGUGCCCCCCGAGGACCCCCUGCCACACAGGCAGAGUCCUGUGUUUUUAAUUUAGGCAAAUCCUCAGCUUUUGUUUCUCCAAAGACGCUCCUCUGUUUGUUCUCUGGGAAACUCAGCCACGCUGAUGUUCCCCCACCCUGAGGACGGGGCUGCUGGCACUCCCUCCCUCCCUGUUCAGGGAGGCCCCUUCACCAGGACCAGCACGCUUGGAGCAAGGGGGUGGGGCCUCUUACCGCCCCACCAGAGCCCACAUGGCCUUGACACACAGCCGAUCCCUCUUUUCCCACCCAUCCUGAGCCCCCAGUGCCCCCCACCCCCUGCCCCGCCUGCCCUCCAGCCUUCAUGGCUUCCCUGGGGCCCAGCCUCAGCCCCUCCGUCCUGUCAUCUAUCCCAGCUCUAAUGUGGGGCUCGGUGCUCAGUGGUCCUGGGUUCUGGGGCUCCUGCUGGUGCAGCCCCACUCCUGCACCCCCAGGUGUCCAGGCUCGUCACUGGGGUCGCCCCAGGAUGUGG